rnacentral:rRNA from 1 species
CUGGCGGCGUGCCUAAUACAUGCAAGUCGAACGGUCUUUCUAUGGAAGCUUGCUUCCACUGAGAAGAUAGUGGCGAACGGGUGAGUAACACGUGGGUAACCUGCCCAUAAGAGGGGGAUAACAUCCGGAAACGGGUGCUAAUACCGCAUAGUUUCUUGAUCGCAUGAUCGGGAAAGGAAAGACGGCCUUUGUGCUGUCGCUUAUGGAUGGACCCGCGGCGUAUUAGUUAGUUGGUGAGGUAACGGCUCACCAAGACGAUGAUACGUAGCCGACCUGAGAGGGUGAUCGGCCACAUUGGGACUGAGACACGGCCCAAACUCCUACGGGAGGCAGCAGUAGGGAAUCUUCCGCAAUGGACGAAAGUCUGACGGAGCAACGCCGCGUGAGUGAAGAAAGGUUUUCGGAUCGUAAAACUCUGUUGUCAGAGAAGAACAAGUUGGAGAGUAACUGCUCCAGCCUUGACGGUAUCUGACCAGAAAGCCACGGCUAACUACGUGCCAGCCGCCGC